GAUGAACGCUGGCGGCGUGCCUAAUACAUGCAAGUCGAGCGAACAGACGAGGAGCUUGCUCCUCUGACGUUAGCGGCGGACGGGUGAGUAACACGUGGAUAACCUACCUAUAAGACUGGGAUAACUUCGGGAAACCGGAGCUAAUACCGGAUAAUAUAUUGAACCGCAUGGUUCAAUAGUGAAAGACGGUUUUGCUGUCACUUAUAGAUGGAUCCGCGCCGCAUUAGCUAGUUGGUAAGGUAACGGCUUACCAAGGCGACGAUGCGUAGCCGACCUGAGAGGGUGAGGCGGCAGCAGUGAAUAGACACACGGAACGGACUCAGACGGGGAGCAGCAGCGCCGAACGUGCGACGAUGGUCGUCAGACUGAAAGAGCAAGUUCGCGGGAAAGAUCAAGUGUUUAGGUUCCUAAGCCCCUUUUGAUAGCGAAGAACAAAUGUGCAAGUACCUACGCACGUCCAGACGGUACCGUAUCAGAAAGCAACGGCUACCUACGUG
rnacentral:rRNA from 1 species